rnacentral:lncRNA from 1 species
AAAUACUGCAUAAUUGAGCAUCGAUCUUCUCCCAAUGUGCUUUGGCUUUUUCAUCUCCUUCACUAGACUCCUUGAUUAGAUGAUCUUGAACACCUUAACCUUUACACCAGAACUCGACAGACGAAGCCCAAGCUAAGUAGUUGGAACCUCCCAUCAAACGUUUUGAGGUAAUCAUAACACCAGAAUUGCCAGAAGCCGAGUUUUUAGGCUCGAAAGCAUCGACUCCCAAAGACAUCGUGAAAACUUGCUGAAACAGAUGAAGGAAAUACUAUUUUUGCCGGAAAAUUACUGUAGUUGCCGGAAAAAAUCACUGUAGAUGCCGAAAAAAAUUCAAAGUGGUCAGAAUUGAAAAAUAAAAAUAUGGGUAGGCUCGGAAUUUGAGGGCGAUCUAACUGCCCUGAAGGACCUUCGUCAGAAUCUCACCGGAACAGUUCUCACGCGCCGGCGCGUGGAGCGCGUGAGUCGGAUCUGCCUGGGUAAAUCUGGCGCGUGAGGGCGCGUGAAGGGCAGUUUUCCGGUGGGAUUUGCUAGGGUUUGGUCGGAUCUCUCUUGGGAACCUUGUGGCGGUGUUGGUUUUUUUUGCACAACACUGAUAAUUAGUGACUUUGACGCAAUUAGUCACUUCGGUCACCGGAAAAUUGUACGGUGACUGAGUUAUUUCUUCCCGGGUGUCGUUGGAAUGACGCACAAUGAUAAUUAUCUCACCAAAGCUCUGAUACCAUGAUAAGAAUGGACCUUGGGCCUAACUCAACCCNNNNNNNNNNNNNNNNNNNNNNNNNNNNNNNNNNNNNNNNNNNNNNNNNNNNNNNNNNNNNNNNNNNNNNNNNNNNNNNNNNNNNNNNGCCUAACUCAACCCCAAAAGCUAGCUUAUGAGGUGAGGAUUGCCCAAGCCAUAUAAGGAGACCAAGGACCUCAAAUCCCUCCAAUGUGGGACAACUCACCAGAUAGAAAAAAGAGGAAGUAUGGUGGGAGCUACCAGGUGCAAGAGGUCUCUUUAAUGGACCUUGGGUGGUUUGUGGGGACUUCAAUACUGUAAGGUACCCAUCCAUCUGAGAAGAAAAAUUGUUCCAGAUUCACAAGAGCUAUGACUGACUUUUCAAACUUCAUUGAAGACAUGGAACUGGUAGACAUUCAAUUAUCAGGAGGAGAAUACACAUGGAGAAAAGGGGACAGACAUAUAAUAGCAGCCAUAUUUGAUAGAUUCUUGAUUUUGGCUGACUGGAAUGAAGAUUUUAGAAACAUAAAGCAAUCAGUGCUGCAGAGAGUUACCUCAGAUCAUUUUCCAUUGAUGCUGCAAUGUGGUUGCUGGGAUCCAGUUAAAUCAUACUUUAAAUUUGAGAACUGGUGGCUGCACACUGAAGGAUUCAAAGAUAGAAUUGAAGAAUGGUGGAAUUCUUUCAUCUGUGAAGGAAGGCCAGAUGUCAUUUUAACUUUGAAGCUUAAAUACUUGAAGACAAAGUUAUAGGAAUGGAGAAAAACUCUAGAAGGCAAUUUAGCAUUACAGAAAGCAAGUAUCCUCAACCAACUUGCAGUGCUGGAGGAGUUACAUGACCGGAGAAGCUUGAUAGAAGAGGAAAUAUUUACAAAAACCACAUUGACCAUGGAGUUUGAGGAGAUUGUAAAUCAUGAAGAAGUAGCAUGGAGACAGAGAUCCAGGGUCCUUUGGUUAAAAGAGGGAGACGGGACCACCAAGUUCUUCCACAAAACAACCAAUGCUCACAGGAGAUUUAAUAAUAUAGCUCAGUUGAUGAGGUGGAGUGGAGGCCAAUAGGUUGCAUCAGAAACAACCAGAGAAUCACAACAAAUGAUAACUCAAUGCUGGAGAGUCCAUUUGGAGAGCAGGAAAUAUGGGACAGUGUUAAGGCAUGUGCAGGUGACAAAGCACUGGGUCCAGAUAGUUUCACAAUGGCCUUUUUUACUACCUGCUGGGAAGUGGUUAAAAAGGAUGUGGUAGCUGAUGUUCAGAAUUUUUAUGAACAAGGAAUCUUUGAAAAGAGCAUUAAUGCCACUUUUGUCGCUCUGAUUCCUAAGAAGCUGGGGGGCCAAAGAAUUGAGAGAUAUCAGGCCUAUCAGUCUGAUUGGUAGUAUAUAAAUUAUCUCCAAGUUACUGACUGAGAAGCUAAAAAAGGUAGUCAAUAAAUUGGUGGAUUCUCAACAAAUGGCUUUCAUAAGAGGAAGACAGAUCAUGGAAGCUGUCCUUAUAGCUAAUGAAUGCAUUGACGCAAGGAAAACAAGCAGGAAAAUGAGCAUUGGUGGAAGACGGAUUAACUGGAUAAAAUAUUGCAUCUCAACUCUUAGCUUCUCUGUACUCAUCAAUGGAGACCCAACUGGUUUGACAAGGGGAUCCCCUUUCCCCUUUCUUAUUCAUUAUUGCUACGGAAUGUUUGAACGAUAUGCUAAAAAGAGCACAGGCAAACAAUUGUAUAGAGGCUUCAAGGUGAAUUGCAGGGCUGAUUGCAACAUGAGGAUUUCACAUUUGCAGUACGCUGAUGACACUUUGGUGUUCUGUGAAUCUGAUAGAGAACAACUGAAAGUGCUAAGGGUGAUAUUCAUUCUUUUUGAAGCCACUUCUGGACUACGUAUAAAUUGGUACAAAAGCUUUAUUUAUCAAGUAAAUGAGGUGAUGGAAUUACAAAGUCUUGCUGAUAUUCUAGGUGGGAAUGUAGGUGAAAUGCCUACUAUAUAUCUAGGGAUGCCAUUGGGAGGCAAGAGUAAGUCAAAAGUAAUUUGGAAUGGAAUGUUGGAGAAGUGUGAAAAGAUGCCUUGCCUACUUAUAUGAUGUCUCUUUUUCCAAUCCCAGUCAAUGUGGUGAAGAGAAUUGAUGCCUUAAGAAGGAAUUUUGCUAUAGGAAGGCAACAAUGAGAAGAAUAAGUUACACAUGGUUAAUUGGAGCUCUGUGACUACUAGCAAAAAGGCAGGGGGGACUGGGAAUAAAAAACAUAAAAAUUCAGAACCAGAUUUUGAUGAUGAAGUGGCUAUGGAAGUUUGCAGCAACUGAACAAUCACUAUGGAAUGAGGUUGUUACGGAGAAAUACAGAGCGGAAGGAAAAUGGACAAUCAAAUUAAUGAGAACUCCAUAUGGUGUCAGUCUGUGAAGUCAAUUAGGAAUCUGUCGCCAAAACUGAUUAACAAAUCCAAUUUAGGAAAUGGUAGGAUGAUUACUCUGUGGGGUGACAAUUGGCUAGGACAAGGACCAUUGAAGGAUCUCUUUUCUGACAUAUAUUCCUUGAAUCAACAACAACAAGUAACACUACACGAGACAUAGACUAAUCAGUGAUGGAAUCUUACAUUCAGAAGAUUGAUAAAUGAUUGGGAGAUAGAAAGAGUAACUAACUUUUACAAUACUUUGGAGCGAUUCAGUGGUACCAACUCUAAUCAAGAUCUUAUCGUACGGCAAAGGAAUAGGCAUGGGAGAUUUUCUGUUGGGUCUGCUUACAAGGAAUUCAACGUGUCUAACAACCAGAAUGGUUGUUUUUUUUUGGGCAAUCCGCUAGGUAAGCGCCUAGGGCUAGAUUUCAUUAAUAAUAAAAAGAAAAAUACAACAAUUAGGAAAAGUAGAAAUAAGGGGGACAAAAGAUCCGGUGUUGUUGCCUAUAUGCCUUGGCUAUAUAAUCACUCAUCUGCUCCUCACAUUGCCUUGAUUGCAGCCUCAUGUAGAGGAUUCAUGGUGUUAGCUGCCGGUAAAGUCUCACGAGGGUAUAUAAUCUCAUAGCCGUGUGGAUAUUUUUCCAAAGGGUAGGACCAAGAUAACACAACAACAACAACAACAACAACCCAGUAUAAUCCCACUUAGUGGGAUCUGGGGAGGGUAGUNNNNNNUAUUUCCCCCGUAUGGAGCACUGAGUUACUUACGUUACGGUCUGGGGAUGGUAAUGUGUACGUAGACCUUACCCCCACCCUAGAGUAGAGAGGCUGUUUCCAAAUAGACCCCCGGCAUCCUUCCUUCCAAGAACUUCCCGCCUUUCUCUUGGGGAGACUCGAACUUACAACCUCUCGGUUGGAAGUGGGGAUUGCUUACCAUCAGAGCAACCACAAUAUAUUAUUAGUCAUAGAUUAGCUUGAAGAGAGAUUCUUUUAUUGUUGUAGUUUAAAAAAAUGAUAAUAUCUCAAUAUUAAAUUUCUAGCUUCUGCGGUUAACUGUCUUUUUUGACCAAGAUAACACAAACCGGGCUAAAUCUUACCUUACUAAUCCUAUUGGCCAGAUUGGUUGUUAGCCAUGUAAGAUAUGGAAAGUAAAAAUACCAUACGAGGUUGCUUGCUUUACAUGGAUACCGGCAAAAGAAGCAGUACUAACACAUGACAACUUAAUCAAAAGAGGAUUCUAUCAGUGUUCUACAUGUUACUUAUGUGGAGAGGAGGCAGAGACAACUAGCCGUCUUUUUUGCACUGCAAACUCACUGUACAACUAUGGAGAAUCUUCAUCGGCGUAAGGGAAAUUUCAUGGGCAAUGCCGGAAGUAAUUAUUGAUGUUCUAACUUGCUGGAAUAAAGAGGGCAACAUUUCUAGUAAUAAAGAGAGAUGAAGAAUAGUUCCAGCAUGCAUAUGGUGGACAAUCUGGGAAGAGAGAAACUAAAGAUAUUUUGAAGAUACGUCCAGUAACAUCCAGAAGAUAAAGAUAAAAUGUUUGGCUCUUUUCUACUUUUGGUGUAAAGGAAAAUUUAUGGAGGAUCAUGAAUCCAUUUUUGAUGUUCUAGAUUCUUUGUGAGAUGACCAAGUUUUUAUGGACACUUUCUUUGUAAAUAUGGGUGAUUUCACUUUUUAGUGAAGUCUUUUUAUUAAUAUAUAAAUAUAUUACCUUCUCAAAAAAAAAAAAAUUCACUUUCAUAUAACAUUGCUAGUCUCGCAAUCUUAUAAUUAGCCCUUCACUUUGUAAGGAUAUCUUCUCAUCACAUAGCACCUAUAACAAUUCUCCAUUUCAAACAUCUUAUUUUUGUUCUAUGUGUUAACACUUUCAUUUGUCAUAUCCUUCUCCUGUAAGGCUGAGUGCAUUGUUUAUAUUUAAAGAUCAUGAACCCCUCCAAUUCCUCUCUUCUUAUGGGGCUUAAACUUGUGCAUAUAUUUUUGUUUGAUUCUACUUAUGCUAGAAUCCUUGCACUAUAGAGUGCUUCCCCAUAAGUUCCAAUUUUUAGUUGGCUUUCUCGCUAGUUUCACCAAUUAAUACAAUAUCAUCUGCAAGUAAUAUGCAUUGAGAAUCUUAUCAUGUAUGCUAUUUGUUAGCUCAUCCAUAACUAGGGUAAUAGUACAGGCAAGGCAAGACUGAUCCCUGAUGUGAACUCACGGUUAUCAAGUCCUCGUUCAGUUGGUAGACAGGAAUAGGGUGAAGUGAGAAAAGUGCUAGUUAAUCAAGUUGCAUAGUUUCAGAACCGAUAAUUUUGUCACUUGGAACUGAUUCUGAUUAAUGGGAUAGAUGAAAUACACAUCAAGUGUCUCAUCUAAUGGUUUAUAUAUCUGCUUGGGUACAUGAUUACUGCUGUUUCCUUUGACAGAUUUAAAAAAAAAAAUCUCAUCAUACACCGAGUUCAAUUCUCGGAAUGCCCCUUACUAAUGUGUUUUCUUAUUAAAAAAAUAAAAAAAAUCUCAUCAUACAUAGUGCUUUUAGUUUCUGUUAGACCGCAGAAUUGUCUCACUGAUAGGACUAAGUUGUUACAGUUUAUGAUGACUAACAAUUCCACAUCAUUAUAAUUUCAAUUUCAGACACUGGUUUGAAAUAAAGCUGUUUUUCUCCCCCUCGAACUUCUGUUGGGCUUAAAUGAGUUUGUUCAUAUUUUGUUUGCAGAGGAAUCAGGGAGCUCUAUUUAGUUUUUCUUUGAUUAAUUCUAAUGAUGACAUCUUUAGCUCAACAAAUUUGCUCUCUGUUUCUAAAAAAAACAUUAUUUUCUCUGCCGAAAGAUGCAAGUAGAUAAAACUUUUGGAUCACACCUGAUUAAUAUCAAUACAAAAACACUACAGAACCAAAGAUCUCCGAAAACUUCUGGUGAUUCUGUUAGUUCUACUGCAUAAUGAUGCCAAAACUAUUUCUAUAAAAUCUUCGAUGUUGAUGUUUUGGGACAUCGCCUAAACUCUCGUGUUGCUUGUCCCAUUCUUCUGCUAUUGAUUUUAUUUCUUUUUUCAUUUUUGUUUUUUAGGGGUUGCACACUGUAUCCUAUUAAUGACCAUAUCAUGCUUAAAUGAAUUUUCCCAGGUGAAGGAACAUUUAGAAAUUUUUGCUGAUGUAAAGGGUGUUCCAGAAGACGCUAAAGAAAAGGCUGUGACUGAAAUGGUUGAUGAAGUGAGUUUCCUAAGCACUAUUGCUAGAAUUGGAUGGUGCUAUAUCUUCUUGAAUAAAGUUUAAAUCGUCACUGUUGGAUAAAAUAUUUGGUGUGACCUUUUUUCUAGCAAGAUGAACUAGUGGACUUUAACCUGAUUGACGGAGGACUAGAUACUUUGGAAACCAAAAAUGCUGAAUUGUCAGAGAAUUCUUUUGUGAUAAUUAAUUAAAUUCCAAUAAUGUUGGCCCAAAACACAACUUUAUACAAGAAGUAUACCAAAAAUGUAGAAAACCUACAAAAUAAAAUGUUUGUCUACGAAAGAAACCAAAUCUUCUAUACAACAAGGAACUUCAUGGGUGCACCAAAAGAAAAUAAGGGAUAGAAUAGUUAAAAUCUAAUUUCUUUUUGAAACUUUAUGGCAACACAAAUGAACUUUGCUGCAUAGAGCCGUUACAUAGGAUGAGUAAUUAUUGAUUGCAUGAGCGCCUCUUUCUUGAUAAUUUUGAUAAAUAUAGCUGCUCUCCAUUCUCCUCAUCCCUUGUUAUAACUAAUUGCUUCCGUGGCUUAAUUCAGAAGAACUCAUUCCUCUGUGCUUAAUUAGCCGACUGUUGACAGAACUUUGUUCUUUGUGUUUCAUAAGGUUGGGCUGGCAGACAAACUUAAUACUGUUGUCAAAGCUCUUUCUGGAGGUAUGAAAAGGAAGUUGUCCCUUGGGAUAGCUCUUAUAGGAAACAGUAAGGUUAGUACAAGUUAAGCAAAUUUUUUCAUUCAUUGUGCUUUGGAACUUACUGAAAGAUUUUGUCUGCUUCUUAGGUUAUUAUUCUUGAUGAACCGACAAGUGGAAUGGAUCCAUACUCUAUGCGGUUAACUUGGCAGCUGAUUAAAAGAAAAAAGAAGAGAAGAAUCAUAUUACUCACAACACACUCCAUGGAUGAAGCUGAUGUGCUAGGAGAUCGGAUUGCUAUCAUGGCAAAUGGAUCUCUAAAGUGCUGUGGAAGGUGUUUCUCUUUGCGACUAAGAACUUCAGUUUAUUUUGAAUAAACUUUUAGCUCCAGUUGGGGGUUAUAAUAUAGUCUUAUGGAACACAUGGCACCAGGAAAGGUGUACUCUGCUACAGUUAAGAGGAGUAGCCGUCUUGAGACUACUAGGCCCUCGCUGUAGCCCAUGAGUUAACUCUGAGGAAUUUCAUGCUUUUACAAUUUAGUAUGUCUUUUUCGGAAUUUCCUUAACUUGCGUUUGCAUUUUCUUGACAGUUCAAUCUUCUUGAAACAUCAGUAUGGGGUUGGUUACACUCUUACUCUGGUUAAGGUGUGCUCAUCUUAGCUAGGUUAAUACAAUUCAUAAAGUUGGCCUUUUUUGCUCAAAAUAAUUAUUUCCAAGACUCUUUCUGAGAUUGCUACUUUCUCCAGACUGCACCAGGGGCCUCAGUAGCUGCUGAUAUUGUUUACCGUCAUGUACCAUCUGCAACACGCAUUAGCGAAGUAUGUUUCUUUCUUCAAUGUUUAAUUUUGCCCUUCCUUUUGCGUUCUAUUGCUCAUCCUAUAAUAGCUUGCGUAUUGGUCUGUUUUGACUAUGGAAUUUGAUUUGCUACGCCGACUUCCAUGUUGAGCGAAAUUACAUAAAAAGAGGAGGAAACGGAAACAUUUUUAUGGCGAGAAACUCUUGUUAAUCAUGCCAAACAAUUCAACUUUCUACUGCUGUAGGUUGCUGCAGAGGUUUCCUUCAAGCUUCCCCUAGCCUCCUCCUCUUCCUUUGAGAGCAUGUUUCGAGAAAUAGAGCGCUACAUGAGAAAAUCCAACCCUAAAUUUGAAACAACAGACUAUAAAGAGGUCGACAGUCUUGGUAUUGAGAGCUAUGGCAUAUCUGUCACAACUUUGGAGGAAGUGUUUCUGAGGGUUGCUGGUGGUGACUUCGAUCAAGCACAGGGCCUUGAAGAGAAAGCAGAUCAAACCUUUUGUGAUUCUGUUGAUUUAAAAGUGUGCCAAACUAACACUUCAAAGACAUUCUUCCCUUCCAAAUUAUGUGGAAGCUAUUUUAGAGUUAUAUGGCUUAUGCUGACCUUGAUUGGUUCAGCUUGUAGUCUAAUCUGGGCUGCGGUUUCAAGUGUGAUUAGCGUUGUUACGAUGCAGUGCUGUUGCUGUUGUAUGCUCUCAAGGUCUACUUUCUGGAAACACUCGAAAGCUCUACUUAUUAAGAGAGCGAAAUCAGCUCAAAGAGAUCGGAAAACAAUUGUGUUCCAGCUGUUAAUUCCUGCUUUCUUUUUGCUUCUUGGUCUGCUGUUUCUUAAGCUAAAGCCACAUCCUGAUCAGCAGCCGGUCUUCUUCACGACCUCGUACUUCAAUCCUUUAUUAAGUGGUGGAGGAGGAGGUGGUCCAAUUCCUUUUGAACUCACAUCGCCUAUAGCAAAGGAGGUCUGAUUACUAUUUGUGGUCUCAUCUUUACUCUUUCUAUUAAUACUUAAAGGUUCUUCAUCCUGCAAUGCUUUGAUGGUGCAGGUUUCCGACCAUGUUCAUGGAGGCUGGAUCCAAAAGUAUCGGGAGACAACAUACAGGUUUCCUGAUUCUACUAAGGCAAUGAACGAUGCCAUAGAAGCAGCAGGAUCAACUUUGGGCCCUGUCCUACUUUCGAUGAGUGAAUAUCUUAUGUCUAGCUUUAAUGAAUCUUAUCAGUCGAGGUGAGUUACUUUGAUAAUCAUCUUCAGCUUCAAAGUAUUGUUGUGAUUGUAUUUUAUUUUUGUAUAUUGGUAUAUCAUUUGACUAGUGCUUCAAAAGGAAAUGUAUCUAUAGCUCUUUAUUUACUAACACCCCCCCCCCCCCCCCCCACAAAAAAAANNNNNNNNNNNNNNNNNNNNNNNNNNNNNNNNNNNNNNNNNNNNNNNNNNNNNNNNNNNNNNNNNNNNNNNNNNNNNNNNNNNNNNNNNNNNNNNNNNNNNNNNNNNNNNNNNNNNNNNNNNNNNNNNNNNNNNNNNNNNNNNNNNNNNNNNNNNNNNNNNNNNNNNNNNNNNNNNNNNNNNNNNNNNNNNNNNNNNNNNNNNNNNNNNNNNNNNNNNNNNCCCCCUCCCAAAUAAAUAAAAGAAAGAAAGAAAGAAAGAAAUCAAUGCCUUGUCUCCUUUGCACAUGUAACAUGUACUUCAACCAUUCCAUGGCUAUUAUUAUUUGUACUAUAUAGUGGAGUACUAAUUAUUACUAAUACUUGGAAAAUCUUUUCUUUAAGGUAGUAAUUGUUGAAGAUAAACUGCACUCUCUCUAACAGCAUAAGAUUUUAGAUGAGGUAGUUACACACUCCAACUUAAGCUUUUAGAUGAGCGGUUGAGGACGUAAUAAACCCCUUUGGAAACCCUCUCACAACCAAUGAGGCAUGAAGUGUAUUCCAGGACACCCUCCUGCACGUGUACUUCUAGGAUUUACACGUGGUUAAAGACCUUUUUUGGCUUAUUUUUAUUAUUUUGGUCUUUUCUAGAAAAGUGGAAACUGGACCUUAAGUAAAGAGACAAAGCAGGCACAAUUGGCUAAAGAGAGGGAGGGAGGGACGGAGAGAGUGAGAGAGAAGGCUUAAUCGGUUAGGAGUGAGUAUGAGCGAAGUUAGUGGCUCGAUGGGCUGAAAAAAAGAGAAACCCAGACAUGGAGCAGCUUCAUGGGUUGAGUUGAGAGAGAGAAGCACAGAGUGAUGGAAUAUGAAAGAGAGAAAGCAGUUGUAAAACGGGGUCAUCAAAGUUUGGCUCAUUUACCAUGUUAAGAACAUGGAUCUCAGGUCUAACUUAACCUCAAAAAGCUCUUGAGGUGAGGAUUCUCCAAAACCAUAUAAGGAUAUGCCAAUCUAUUUCCUCAACCAAUUUAGACUUAACAAGUAUGCAUAACAUGUAUAAAAAUGCUUACAAUUGGCUUUCUGGAUGUAUCGACAUAGUUAAUCUGGUGAGAGCUUUAGUAUUUAGAUAGAAGAAAGCUGCGAUUCAGUUCUGGAUUCUUUACUUUAUGCAUAUAAUGAUCAGAAACCUCCAAUUGUCGCUAUUUUAAAUGUAACUAGAGCACAUAAUUUGUGCUGAAGAUUCAUUUAUUUUAUUGAAACUUGUUACUUUGUCAAAAAAGAAAAAUGCAAGUACAUGAAGUCUCGUCAUAUUCCAAUCGAAUGUAGUGAUUGUACUAUACAUUCUACUUCUUCCCCAUUUAACUUCAAUGGCUAUUUAUUUAGCUUAAUAGGUCUGCCAAAUGACUCAUUUCCUUCCUAAAUCAGUUUCAUGCAUAUUCUAUUGCAGGUAUGGAGCUAUAGUCAUGGAUAAUCAGACUGGUGAUGGUAGCCUUGGGUACACUGUUCUGCACAACAGUUCUUGCCAGCAUUCUGCUCCAACAUUUAUCAAUUUGAUGAAUUCAGCAAUACUCAGGCUAGCUACACAUAAUGAAAAUAUGACAAUUCUCACUCGUAACCACCCUUUGCCGCAGACAGCAAGUCAGCAUCAGCAACAUCAUGUAUGAUUUUCUAUAAUCUUAUUAUUGAUGAAAUUGUAGCAUUCUACAUCUGUCGAUGCAAAUUCCUUGAUUAAUUGUUCCGGCUAGAAUGUUUACUGAUUAUUUCUCAAAGAGCUAGUUGUGGUGAAGUCAUAUUUAGUUUCGAACAAGGCGAUACAUUAUUUUUCUUCCUGUAAAUAAAUUUAACAUGAUAAUCUGUCAGUAAAUCUGGGGAUUAGUCUUGUUGCAGAUGUUUUGCAGGUUUAAAUUACAGCUGCUGCAUGCAGUGGCGGAGGCAGGAUCUCCACGAAGGGUGUUCAAAUUUUUUUUUGUAGCUUGUGGGAAUUGAACCCAUGACCUUAUGUAGAUUUUGAACCCCCUUGACCACUAAACUACACUUUCGGAUUGUGUUAAGGGUGUUCAAAACUUAAUAUAUAGAGAUAAAAAAUAGAUUUUGCCUUAUAUAUACAGUGUAAUUUUUCGGCGAAUGAUGUUCGGAUGAACACCCUUGCGCCCCCCUAAAUCCGCUCCUGGCUGCAUGUAACCUGUAAAGUAUCAUCUAUAACAAGUCUUAUCUAACAAUUCAUUUUGCUUUAUUGAAGUUUUGCGACUAUAUCUUUUAUUAUACCUUGAUGCUGUACUUAAUUGUGUAUUUAAUACAGUUUAUCUCUUGCAUAGAUUACUUAUAUAUAUAUAUUUCUUUUUUUCUUUUUUUAAAAUUUAUUUAUAAGCGUAUCAUCAUUGACCACAUAGAUUACAAAUAUGUGAAGCAAGUCUUGUACCAAACUACACAUACUCUUUUUAAAACAUAAAUAUUUUGGUGAAAUAACAAGUUGUCAACUUCCAUUUCCAAUAUUUGAAUAAUGACUUGUUAUCUACUGCUCUAUGAUACAUCUGUCGGUGAUGUAAUUCUGAAUUUGCUUCUUUUGAUGGUUAUCUUGUCACCUUUGUUUGUGUUUUAGGAUAUGGACGCCUUCUCUGCUGCAAUUGUAAUCAAUAUAGCCUUUUCUUUUAUUCCUGCAUCAUUCGCUGUGGCGAUUGUCAAGGUAACUUUGCAUGUUGCUCUUUCUUCUAACAAAUUGUAUUGCAAUUUGAGAAAUAAUAUUUAUAAGUGUUCUUGAUACUUCAACACCAAACUUUGCAUGUUGCUCUUUCUUCUAACAAAUUGUAUUGCAAUUUGAGAAAUAAUAUUUGUAAGUGUUCUUGAUACUUCAACACCAUCCAGCCCCCAGGUAUAAUAUAGGUAAUCCGUCCCUAUUCUAGUAAAGUAGGUACAUUUCAUAGGGAAUAUCUUAAGGCGUCCUAUUGAAUAUUCAAGUACAACGAUUCUAGACAUGUAUGAAUCUGAACAUAUACUCAUGAAUAUUCUAAAAUUUCUCACACAUAACAAUGGCUCUCAUGUACGAUUGGCAGCCGAUUUGUUCUGGAUGUAUUGCAAUUUGAGAAAUAAUAUUUAUAAGUGUUCUUGAUACUUCAACACCAUCCAGCCCCCAGGUAUAAUAUAGGUAAUCCGUCCCUAUUCUAGUAAAGUAGGUACAUUUCAUAGGGAAUAUCUUAAGGCGUCCUAUUGAAUAUUCAAGUACAACGAUUCUAGACAUGUAUGAAUCUGAACAUAUACUCCUGAAUAUUCUAAAAUUUCUCACACAUAACAAUGGCUCUCAUGUACGAUUGGCAUGCCGAUUUGUUCUGGAUGUUAUUUAUUUUCACCCUUGGUAAAGUAAUUUAUGUAAUUUGCUUGAGUUUUCUAGUAUAACCAUUCUGCUAGGAAACUAAUAGUACAUAUUUAUGUUUGUUUCUGCAGGAGCGUGAAGUGAAAGCUAAGCAUCAACAGCUAAUCAGUGGGGUAUAUUUCUUUCUUCAACAUGUCUUAGUCUAUUGCACAUUUUAAGAAUUGUCAAUGAUGCUUUAAUGCUCCCAAAUUCUGCAGGUGUCCAUACUCUCAUAUUGGGCUUCCACAUAUAUAUGGGACUUCAUCAGCUUCUUAUUUCCUUCAUCUUUUGCAUUAAUUCUCUUUUGGAUAUUUGGUACGCUUCAGCUUUUCUGCCUAUCUAUUGAUAAAGGAGUUUGCUUCAGUUGACUGAUAGUCAAUUCUCUUUUGGAUAUUUGGUAUGGUUCAGUUUUUCUGUCUAUCUAUUGAUAAAGGAGUUUGCUUCACAUGACUGAUAGUCAAGAAUUCUUAAUUUAGGUCUUAAAAGCUUAAUAAGAAUUUUGAAAAAACUUCACUCUGCUUAGGUUGUAACUUCACUCUUCUUAGAUUGUAAUAUUUCUGUUGUUGCUUGCUUUUUUUUGUAUGAGAUAUCUUGCUGAAAAGUUUUAUGUUUCUGCUACCAUGCACUAUGAGAACAACUCAAAGAGCCGUUUCAAUUAUAAGAUAUCUAUUUUAGAUAAUAAACUUGAGCUGAAAAUUGGAAAAACUUGAUGGGUCUAAUUAAAAGGUUUGUCCAUGGUUUUAUUUUUCAACUUUUGCAAUUUUGGCAACAUACUUUUUCAUUUUUUUUUGGUAAAGGUUUACUUUUUCAGUUGUUUAAUACCCUGUCUCAGAUUUAGUUGCUUCGAUUCACUCUCCUCUACCGUUUUUUCUUCAAAUGUUUUUGUUGUUCCAAAUAGUUUUCUUACAACUAGGUCUUAUGAGGUAAAUAACUUUAUUAAUGAUGGGGAAAACCUAGUAUCCAAGCCAUAUGCUAAAAGAUAAAGAACCUACACCAUAGUUUCUUCAGAAGCAUCUUCGUCAUGUCACUGUACUAUUGCCAAGUUACUCAAUCUCUCAUAUCAGAUUGAGAUAAAAACUGGAUAAUGCCUAUACAUUAUCUUUAGUAACUCCAUCUUAUCUAAACCUAUGUUGCUCGGACUCUCCGAAAAUGUGGCAUGAUACGUGUCAAAUCCUCCGAAAGUACUGCAUUUUUGAAGGAUCCAACAUGGGUGCGGCUACAUUUUGGAGAGUCCGCACAACAUAGACGCAUCACUUGGGUUGGAUCGGUGUUGACAGAAAAGAUUGUUAGUCCCCAUUGGUCAAGGGUAUGGGCUAUUGUCUUCUUAUAUGGUCUUGAGUUAUCCUCGCCUCAAAAUCUAGGCCCAAGAUCCAUUUUCCUUGUAUGGUAUUAGAGCCAAACCCAUCCUUAUUCUUGGUUACCCAGUGUUGGAUCUCCAUUCCAGAUAUUCGGUCCUAGGCUUGCUGGGAGGAAGGAGGAGGGUGUUAAGAGUCCCCCAUUAGUUGCGGGUAUGGUUUGUUGUCUCCUUAUAUAGUUUUGGCGUUCCUCACCUCAUGAGCUAGCUUUUAGUUUGAGCUUGACGCAAGGUUCAUUUCCUAGCAUAUGGCGUACUGUCGUAUUGAUCACAUGCUCCUUUUCUUAUCCUUGAUUUAACCUCCUUAUUGAGGUAGGUCAUCACUUAUAUGAAAUAUUCUUGAGUAUAUCUCGUUAGUUCUAUCCACUUUGUGACAAUGUUGUCUUUUCUCCUGUUAAAUACCACAUAAGUUGUAUGAUUUUUGUUUCUUCACAUUGCCUUAUUUUAAAAAAAAAUUGAUUUUCACUAUCCAAAUUUUAAAGAGAACUACUUCUGUAGGUCUUGAGCAAUUUAUUGGAAAGGAUUCUCUCAUCCCAACAAUUCUGUUGUUUCUUGAAUAUGGAUUAGCAAUGGCGUCAUCAACAUACUGCCUCACUUUCUUCUUUUCCGAGCACAGCAUGGCUCAGGUAUCUGUUUUGUAGAAUAUCUGAAGAUUUUUAACUUGUCGAAUAUUGUUGAUCCUGAUAUCGUUUUUAUGUGCAGAAUGUGGUCCUCCUCGUCCAAUUUUUCACUGGCCUCAUUCUUAUGGUCCUAUCCUUCAUUAUGGGACUUAUAAAUUCUACAGCACACUUAAAUUCUCUGCUCAAGGUUGGAAGGCCUAAAGUAUUUCCCUCCGAAUUACUAUAUUACGUUAUAUGUCUUGGUAGUUGUGGUUUUAGCUUUAGACGUGAAAGGGCAUUCUUUAGAUCAAUUUGUUGAAUUUAUUUAAUAAUUGUCAAUUUCCAUGCAUUAAGCUACUGCUGCUGCAGAUAGUAGGAUCUCUAUCUCUGAAAUGUACCCUUUGAUAUGGAAGUUCGAAAUAUUGAAAUGCGUUUUUCUGUUUACUAUCUUCACUUUAUCGGUCACCUGGAAGCUUUCUAAAAUCACGGAAUGACUACUAUGGUGACAACUGAACAUUGAGUGAGUAUUUUAGAAGUCCUAAAUCAUUGAUCUGGAAGGAGAAGAAGAGCUGGAAAAACAAAAAAAUGGAACUUUUUAAUAGUGUACUUGUAAAUGUGCCAAAGAAUACUGGCGAAACUGGAUGGUCUUGCCAAUCUGUGAUUCUACUAUAUCAUGCUGCCCUUUCUUGAUAUAAAGGCUUUUUAUUUACAUCAAUGUACACUACACUAUCACCAAUGGCAAUAACAAAUGAAAUACUUUAGUUGGAUAGCCAAGAUAUUGUUUCAGUUCAAGAGUCACACACUAUCUAAUUACCUUUUAGUAAUGCCUCUUAAUGUAUUCACUGUAGCACAUACAUGAUCAACUCUCUCUCAAAUAAUCCUACUAACAAGGGAUAAUCUUUUGCAGAACUUUUUUAGACUGUCACCGGGAUUUUGCUUCGCUGAUGGAUUGGCUUCAUUGGCUCUUUUAAGACAAGGGAUGAAGAAUGGAUCUAGAGAUAACGUUCUUGACUGGAAUGUGACUGGUGCUGCUAUAUUAUACUUGGCUGCUGAGGUAGCCAUCUGGUUUGUUGACUCUAAUUAAACUUUCUUGCAGCUUGAUCAUCUCACAGUUGUUUCUUUCUUAAGAAAAGUCAUUUGUGGUAUGUCGUCUGGUAGUGUUUUUUUAGCUUGUCCUUUCUCUUUCUCUCCUUGUGUGAUGGAAAUAAAUUUUCUUGCAGCUUGAUCAUCUCACAGUUGUUUCUUUCUUAAGAAAAGUCAUUUGUGGUAUGUCGUCUGGUAGUGUUUUUUUAGCUUGUCCUUUCUCUUUCUCUCCUUGUGUGAUGGAAAGACACAGAAUUGUUGAAAACAUGUCACAUUCAUGACCACUUACCUCCACCAGAUCGUAUCAUUUAUGCUUUCAUGUACUAGAUUAGGAGCAAAUUCAACCUCUCCUGCCACAAACAGUUACCCUGUUUAUCACGAGCUCAAACCUCCCACCUCACCCCCACCCCCACAGACAAAUGCACUGGUAUUUAACUCGAGAAGUGUAGAAGAUUUAACUCAGUAAAAGUGUGCUAUGUAAAGAUGGUCACACAUUUCAACAUGGGAUCAGAGCAGACAGAGGUCUUGAGUUCAAUUCUCGCCGCCACCCAGUAUCAAAAAAAUUCACGUACUUGGCUCAUUGAAAAAAAUCAAGCCCGCACGUGAGGUGGCGUGUUGAAGAUAUAUAAUUAAGUCAAUGAAAGUGUGCUCUCUCUGGCACUUCAGCUUUCAUGUGAGAUGAUCAUGCACUUUAGCAAGAAUGGUAGAGGGGCGGGCCGAUUAUCUACAGAUUUCUGAAUCCUGCUCCAACUGUCCGUAAGGAUUUCUCAGUUAUAAAAAAAAAAAAGCUUUUCCCGGCAUAACCAUCAUUUCCACCACGUGAUCUCUCUUCCUAUGGAUUACUAUAUCACUUUUUGAGUUUGCGCAUGCUAACAACGGAAUAAUUCCAUUGGCUGACCUCAAAUUUGAAUAAGCAGUUUUGCUCGUUGAGAUCUUCAUUUGGUAUUUAUUUCUUCUUGGUCAUUUAUAGGCCUUUGAUACAUUUUUGUUAUUUGCUCUUAUUCACAUGUAUUGUGUAGUUCCAGGAAUGACUGUUUUUCUCUAAGCAUUAUUCAUCCCUGUUGUGUCUUUGUUAGUUAUCUUCCUCUAUGUCCUUCCUUGCUAUCUGUAUCCCACCUCAUUUAUAACCUCUGCUAAGAUCUCUUAGGUUUUACGGGAACUUUUUAAUUCUGGAUAUCCCAUGAUGCAGGCCAUUGUGUUUUUCCUUUUAACUCUGGCGCUUGAAUUCUUCCCUCAACAAAAAAGGAGUCUUUACAGAGUUCAUGAGUGGUGGAAAAGCUUGGGAAAAUCUAAGCAUGCUACUUUCUUCGGGUCUUCAAAACCUCUUCUGCAACCACCCUCAGGCGAUGUUGCUUCUGAAUUUGAUGAAGACAUAGAUGUUAAAGCAGAGAGAGACAGGGUUUUAUCUGGCUCAACUGAUAAUGCUGUUAUCCACCUCUGUAAUCUUCGAAAGGUAAGAAUAUUCAUUUGCCUGUAGUUCAAAAUAUUAAAGCGUUAAGUCUGUUGAAUUAAGUAUGUUUCUUUUUCAGAUCUAUCCUGGAGGGAAGUCCCAAGUUCCAAAAGUUGCUGUCCAUUCACUGACUUUCUCUGUCCAAGAAGGAGAGUGUUUUGGGUUCCUAGGAACUAAUGGAGCAGGGAAGACAACAACACUGUCAAUGCUAUCUGGUACAUUUCUAUUCUGCAGCAUUACAUAAUUCUAGAUUUGUGUUUAGGCUUGCGUCUAGCUGUGAGAAUAUGCAUGUUUGUGAUAAUGGAGGAAGUUUACAGAACCACUUUGUAUUUAUAUCAUCAAUUGCUGGAAAAGUAGCCUGGCUAUUGACAAUCUGUCUCUUUUGGUAAUUGGUUUGUUUAAAUUUCUUAAAGAACUACUUUAAUUAUGCUCUUCUUUAAACAUUUCAAAACAUGAAGGAUUUCAUUCUAACUGUUAGAAUAUGUAAAUAGUAGAACCCUAAUCCAAAGUGUAUUAGGAGUAGGAUAGGUUAUGNNNNNNNNNNNNNNNNNNNNNNNNNNNNNNNNNNNNNNNNNNNNNNNNNNNNNNNNNNNNNNNNNNNNNNNNNNNNNNNNNNNNNNNNNNNNNNNNNNNNNNNNNNNNNNNNNNNNNNNNNNNNNNNNNNNNNNNNNNNNNNNNNNNNNNNNNNNNNNNNNNNNNNNNNNNNNNNNNNNNNNNNNNNNNNNNNNNNNNNNNNNNNNNNNNNNNNNNNNNNNNNNNAAAUCAGUCUCGGUCAGUGCUGUGCAAAAUCCAGCAAUACCAAAAGACUCGCCUCUGUCCGGCGACAAAACCCCAGAAAUUUCUCCGGCCAAAUCUAACCCACGAGCCCACGCCGGCGCGUGGCACCCUUUCCGGCCAGAAUUUCCGGUGACUCCUUCAGGACAGUUUGGUCGGCUACUAAUUCCGACCCUACCCAUCCUAUUUUCGUUCGAUUCCGACAACUUUGAGUUUUUUCCUGCGACUACACUGACUUUUCCGGCAGCUACAGUACUUUCCGGCCAGAAUUUCCUCAGGACAGUCUGCACGCCCUUGAAUUCCGAGCCUAUCCAUAUUUUUAUUUUUCAAUUCUGACAACUUUGAUUUUUUUACGGUGACUACAGUGCUUUUUCCGGCACUACAGUGUUCCAGUUUUUUUUCCAGCAGCUUCAGUUUUCAGUUUCCAGUUUUCUGUUUCAGUUUCAACGAGUUUACAGUGUUCCAAUUUUUUUUUCCGGCAGCUCCAGUUUUCUGCUUCAGUUUCAGCGUCUUUUCAGUUGAUAAUCCAACGAUGUCUUUGUGACUAGAUACUUUCGGGUCUAGAAACCCGGGUUCUGGCAGUUCCGGUGUUAUGAUUACCUCAGAACCUUUAAUGGGAGGUUCAAACUACCUAGCUUGGGCUUCGUCUCUCGAGUUGUGGUGUAAAGGCCAAGGUGUUCAGGAUCAUCUAACCAAGGAGUCUAGUGACGGAGAUGAAAAAGCCAAAGCACAUUGGGAGAAGAUUGAUGNNNN